rnacentral:rRNA from 1 species
UACGGAACGCAGCAGUGGGGAAUAUUGCACAAUGGGCGAAAGCCUGAUGCAGCUAUGCCGCGUGUAUGAAGAAGGCCUUAGGGUUGUAAAGUACUUUCAUCGGGGAGGAAAAACAAAACUAAUAAUUUUAUUUCUUGACGUUACCCGAAAAAGAAGCACCGGCUAACUCCGUGCCAGCAGCCGCGGUAAUACGGAGGGUGCUAGCGUUAAUCAGAAUUACUGGGCGUAAAGAGCACGUAGGUGGUUUUUUUAAGUCAGAUGUGAAAUCCCUGGGCUUAACCUAGGAACUGCAUUUUGAAACUGAAAUACUAGAGUAUCGUAGAGGGAGGUAGAAUUCUAGGUGUAGCGGUGAAAUGCGUAGAUAUCUGGAGGAAUACCUGUGGCGAAAGCGGCCUCCUAAACGAAUACUGACACUGAGGUGCGAAAGCGUGGGGAGCAAACAGGGAUUAGAUACC